CCUACGGGCGGCAGCAGUGAGGAAUAUUGGUCAAUGGACGCAAGUCUGAACCAGCCAUGCCGCGUGCAGGAAGACGGCUCUAUGAGUUGUAAACUGCUUUUGUACGAGGGUAAACGCAGAUACGCGUAUCUGUCUGAAAGUAUCGUACGAAUAACGAUCGGAUAACUCCGUGCCAUCAGCCGCGGUAAUACGGAGGAGUCAAGCGUUAUCCGGAUUUAUUGGGUUUAAAGGGUGCGUAGGCGGUCGGAUAAGUUAGAGGUGAAAUCCCGAGGCUCAACUUGGGAAUUGCCUCUGAUACUGUUCGGCGAGAGAGUAGUGGCGGGAGGCGGAAUGUAUGGUGUAGCGGUGAAAUGCUUAGAGAUCAUACAGAGCACCGAUUGCGAAGGCAGCUUACCAAGCUACUUCUGACGUUGAGGCACGAAAGCGUGGGGAGCAAACAGGAUUAGAUACCCCGGUAGUC
rnacentral:rRNA from 1 species